UGCCCUAGUAACGGCGAGUGAAGCGGCAACAGCUCAAAUUUGAAAUCUGGCUUUCGGGCCCGAGUUGUAAUUUGUAGAGGAUACUUUUGAUGCGGUGCCUUCCGAGUUCCCUGGAACGGGACGCCAUAGAGGGUGAGAGCCCCGUCUGGUUGGAUGCCAAAUCUCUGUAAAGUUCCUUCGACGAGUCGAGUAGUUUGGGAAUGCUGCUCUAAAUGGGAGGUAUAUGUCUUCUAAAGCUAAAUAUUGGCCAGAGACCGAUAGCGCACAAGUAGAGUGAUCGAAAGAUGAAAAGCACUUUGAAAAGAGAGUUAAAAAGUACGUGAAAUUGUUGAAAGGGAAGCGUUUAUGACCAGACUUGGACUUGGUUAAUCAUCUGGGGUUCUCCCCAGUGCACUUUUCCAGUUCAGGCCAGCAUCAGUUUUCGCCGGGGGAUAAAGGCUUCGGGAAUGUAGCUCUCUUCGGGGAGUGUUAUAGCCCGUUGUGUAAUACCCUGGUGGAGACUGAGGUUCGCGCUUCUGCAAGGAUGCUGGCGUAAUGGUCAUCAACGACCCGUCUUGAAACACGGACCAAGGAGUCGUCUUCGUAUGCGAGUGUUCGGGUGUCAAACCCCUACGCGUAAUGAAAGUGAACGCACGUGAGAGCUUCGGCGCAUCAUCGACCGAUCCUGAUGUUCUCGGAUGGAUUUGAGUAAGAGCAU
rnacentral:rRNA from 1 species